rnacentral:misc_RNA from 1 species
AAAGUAAGUCCAAAAUAAGACAUCAAUAUUGUUGGCAGUAACAAACAUUCUAACAAAAUAUUAAGAUAAGAAUAUGUUAGCAGUGAAAUAACAUUAUGAAAAGUGUAUAUUACAUUAUACAGCCUUUACUCUUAGGAAAGAAUUAUUUGGUGUUGCUUUUAACCUAUGUCAGUUUUAACCAAAUUUCUACGCUUUAGAAAGUCCAUUUACCCCAACAACAAGAGAAGAACUAAAAGCACAGUCCACAGAGCAGUUCCACGGCUUUUACUCAAGACCUCACUUUUAGAACAAGUACUACAGGGAGCGAGGGAGGGAAGGGAAGAGAGGAAAA